GACAGAGGCCCCGAGCGUUAGGCGGAAUCACUGGGCUUAAAGCGUGUGUAGGCGGAUCGUUAAGUGCCUUGUGAAAUCCCAUGGCUUAACCAUGGAACUGCUUGGCAUACUGGCGGUCUUGAGCCACUUAGGGGCAACCGGAACAAAUGGUGGAGCGGUGAAAUGCGUAGAUAUCAUUUGGAACGCCAAUGGUGAAAACAGGUUGCUGGGAGUGUACUGACGCUGAGACACGAAAGCCAGGGGAGCGAACGGG
rnacentral:rRNA from 1 species